UGGGGAAUCUUGCACAAUGGGGGCAACCCUGAUGCAGCGACGCCGCGUGAGCGAUGAAGCCCUUCGGGGCGUAAAGCUCUUUCGACCGGAACGAUAAUGACGGUACCGGGAGAAGAAGCUGCGGCUAACUACGUGCCAGCAGCCGCGGUAAUCCGUAGGCAGCAAGCGUUGUUCGGAGUUACUGGGCGUAAAGAGUGCGUAGGCGGUUUUCUAAGUUCGGUGUGAAAGCUCCCGGCUUAACUGGGAGGGUGCGCCGAAGACUGGGAAGCUGGAGUGUGGGAAAGGCAGGCGGAAUUCCUGGUGUAGCGGUGAAAUGCGUAGAUAUCAGGAGGAACACCGGCGGUGUAGACGGCUUGCUAGACCAUAACUGACGCUGAGGCACGAAAGCGGGGGUAGCAAACA
rnacentral:rRNA from 1 species